AGUGAACGCUGGCGGUAGGCCUAACACAUGCAAGUCGAACGGCAGCACAGUAAGAGCUUGCUCUUACGGGUGGCGAGUGGCGGACGGGUGAGGAAUACAUCGGAAUCUACUUUUUCGUGGGGGAUAACGUAGGGAAACUUACGCUAAUACCGCAUACGACCUACGGGUGAAAGCAGGGGAUCUUCGGACCUUGCGCGAUUGAAUGAGCCGAUGUCGGAUUAGCUAGUUGGCGGGGUAAAGGCCCACCAAGGCGACGAUCCGUAGCUGGUCUGAGAGGAUGGUCGGCCACAUUGGAACUGAGACACGGUCCAGACUCCUACGGGAGGCAGCAGUGGGGAAUAUUGGACAAUGGGCGCAAGCCUGAUCCAGCCAUACCGCGUGGGUGAAGAAGGCCUUCGGGUUGUAAAGCCCUUUUGUUGGGAAAGAAAAGCAGCAGGUUAAUACCCCGCUGUUCUGACGGUACCCAAAGAAUAAGCACCGGCUAACUUCGUG
rnacentral:rRNA from 1 species